rnacentral:rRNA from 1 species
UACAGAGGGGGCAAGCGUUAUUCGGAAUUAUUGGGCGUAAAGAGCUCGUAGGCGGUCUGUCGCGUCGGCUGUGAAAACCUGGGGCUUAACCCCGGGCCUGCAGCCGAUACGGGCAGACUAGAGUUCGGCAGGGGAGACUGGAAUUCCUGGUGUAGCGGUGAAAUGCGCAGAUAUCAGGAGGAACACCGGUGGCGAAGGCGGGUCUCUGGGCCGAAACUGACGCUGAGGAGCGAAAGCGUGGGGAGCAAACAGG